rnacentral:rRNA from 1 species
UACGUAGGGUGCAAGCGUUGUCCGGAAUCAUUGGGCGUAAAGCGCGCGUAGGCGGCCCGAUAAGUCCGCUGUAAAAGUCAACGGCUCAACUGUUGAAAGCCGGCGGAUACUGUCGGGCUAGAGUACGGAAGAGGCAAGUGGAAUUCCUGGUGUAGCGGUGGAAUGCGCAGAUAUCAGGAGGAACACCUAUAGCGAAGGCAGCUUGCUGGGACGUUACUGACGCUAAGGCGCGAAAGCGUGGGGAGCGAACAGG